rnacentral:rRNA from 1 species
UAGGGAAUAUUGGUAAUGGGCGAAAGCCCGAACCAGCAACGCCGCGUGCGCGAUGAAGGCCUUCGGGUAGUAAAGCGCUUUUUAAGGGGAUGAGGAAGGACAGUACUCUUAGAAUAAGCCUCGGCUAACUACGUGCCAGCAGCCGCGGUAAAACGUAGGAGGCGAGCGUUAUCCGGAUUUACUGGGCGUAAAGCGUGUGCAGGCGGUUUGAUAAGUUGGAUGUGAAAGCUCCCGGCUCAACUGGGAGAGGUCGUUCAAAACUAUCAGACUUGAGAGUAGUAGAGGGAGGUGGAAUUCCGCGUGUAGUGGUGAAAUGCGUAGAUAUGCGGAGGAACACCAGUGGCGAAAGCGGCCUCCUGGCCCAUUUCUGACGCUCAGACACGAAAGCUAAGGUAGCAAACG